ACCGGGCGUCGUGGCGGGCGCCUGUGAGCCAGCUUCUUGGCGGUAGACGAGUGUGGAUGGAGUGAAAGGAGGAGUCCUGUGUAUAUCGUUGUCACCGACGACCGAGCGUCCGUUGCCAAGCGCUGCGUUCACUAGGGGUCAUCCUUCGGAAGAGGGGCGGUCCCGGGUGCAUAAGGAGCGGUGGAUGGUUCAGGACCGAAAGGUAGCAGACAAAAGCUGCCGCGCGGUGCAGUGGCCGGAUAGCGCUUGCGAGGUGACACGUGUACACAGCCUCCUUGAUACCUUCAGACCACUUGUCAU
rnacentral:SRP_RNA from 1 species